rnacentral:lncRNA from 1 species
UUUCCCAUGUAGUUUCCCUCUGUGGUGUAAAUGUUGACUAUUUCUAAACUAUAUAUCCAUUUGUUUGCCUCUUAUGACUGACUUCAUGUCUACUCGAAAUGUAUAAUUUGCUUACGAGAUUUCUUGUAUGAUCUUGGCCUCUUUAAGCAGGCCUCAAGAUUAGGUCUGUUUCAAAUUUUACACUUGCCUAAGCUUUUGCUUGCCUACUAAGAUUAGUAGUUUUACCUUGUGGGAUCAUGUUGUUUCAUUUGUUUAUUUUUAAGCCGUGAAGAUUCACUCUUUCUAAAGGUUUAGCUUUCUUCGUAUAAUCAGAACAGAUUGGUAUUCGAUCGGGUCCAUUCUUUUACUUCUUGAAGAUGAAUGCACCUGCUUGUAUUCAUAGUUAGUUGUCUGAUAUGCUAUUUGGUAACUAGUGUCUUAAUUUUAUUUUAUUCUGGUUGAGAUUUCCUCUCAUUUAGCGCCAAUAGACAUUUGGUUUGAAUGCUUAGGUCUUGUGAGAGCAUUAAUGUUAUGGUAUUACUAUAUUGUUGUUCCCUUAUGCGUUUUAAACACAAUGACAUCUCUCGUUGAGAAAUAGGAUUAAAGCAUUGGUCCUUAUCAAGUUUCGUUCUUAAUUUUAUUAAGGAAUAUCUAAAUUUCAUUUACCAAGUUUAGUAGCUUCAAAUUUGCUGCUCUAUUAUAAUGAGUUUGAAAUCUUUGGACAACUGCCUCAUGUCUUUUUUUUCAAAAAUAAAAUAAAAUUUUUAUACGAGAAGUGUAAAUCUAUGUAGUGUUUAAUAUGUGGCUAUUUGUUAGCAUGUGAUCAUUACGUGUCUCUUUAAAAUUUUGAUUUAGUUUCAUUAUCAAUCUUAACAAGAUAUCUAUAUGUUAUUCAAUAUAUGUUAGUUAUUAACAUUUUAAUUAUUCUUACCUUCUAUUUAAUGCUAAAUCUGUCCAGUUUCGAUUAAUUACUUCUCUUUCUUUUCUCUUUUCAUGAAAACUCUAUCCGAGUCCCUUUUGGGGGCCCACGGUUCCCUCGCAUUUUCUCGUUGGGCCAUGGAGGCCUAACAAUCCCUCAUCGAGUCAACCGGCCAUUGAAAAUUGACGUACAGAUCCCAAAGUUGAAAGGCGCAACAAAUCGAGAAACUGAAAAGAUUGGGCCAAAGGCUCACUCCUAAUUCAAAAUUUGUAUUUUUGGGCCUAAGCCCACUUAUUUAUUAUUAUUUGUUAGUUCUCAGGACAGGUGAAGGAACUGGGCCUAAGGCCCAAAAUAAAGAUAUCUAUUUUUGUUAGAUUAGGACAGGUACCAUUGAUUUAAAUAGGCCAAAGGUCCAGAACAAAAAUGGGCCCAAAUACUGGUCCAGGCGGACAGAAACCAAAUUUGGGCCCAACCCUCUUUCCCUCCUUACUUUACUGUGUUUGUUUUGUUUGUUAAUAUUUGUCGUUAAUCUUAGGGUCGAAAAGUUCAAAUCCCCGAGAGACGCUCAUUUCGUUUUAACAAUGUAACUAAAUCGAUCAUCUUUUCAAAAGACUUAAAAGAGUAAAUUUUGAGAAGCAUCUCACUUAGAGCAUAG